UAAAAGUUAGUUUAAACCAAAAUUUAGAUCUGUGGAAUCUGAGAUAAUUUAUAAAAUUACUUUUAC
rnacentral:tRNA from 1 species